CAUUCCUCCCUAUCACUCCCUUUCAAUUUUUAUUUUUGUGUUUCAAGAAUUUUCUAAGAUUUAAAAACAAAUCCCCCAAGUUAAAAAAAAUCACAUUUCCGAAUUGAAUGCAAUCAAAAUCUUUCAAUUUCAUCCUCGCAAAAGCCAAUCAAUUCCAAUGGCGGACGAUAGGAGAGGCGUUGUUGGCUACGCGCUUUUGCCAAAGAAACAACAAAGCUUCAUCCAAGACUCACUGCUCUCUCUCUGCAAAUCAAAAGGCGUCGAUCUGGUGAAAAUUGAUCAGGACCGUCUAUUAACUGAUCAAGGACCGUUCGAUUGCGUUCUCCACAAACUGUACGGUGAACAUUGGAGGAAACAACUCGAGGAGUUCCAAAUUCAAAACCCUAAUUCGACUAUAAUCGACUCGCCUGCGUCAAUCGAACGACUCCACAACCGAAUCUCGAUGUUACAAGUCGUUUCGGAGCUAAAGAUCGAGUCGGAAACGGACACAUUCGGCAUUCCGAAACAGAUUGUGAUUUACGAUAAGGAAACGCUUUUCGACCGGCAAUCUUGGGAGUUCUUAAAAUAUCCGGUCAUUGCGAAACCAUUAAUUGCUGAUGGUAGCGCAAAAUCGCAUAAAAUGGCUUUGGUUUUUAACCAUGAGGGUUUAAAUAAAUUAAAACCCCCAAUUGUCUUACAAGAGUUUGUUAAUCACGGCGGCGUUAUCUUUAAAGUUUACGUGGUAGGGGAAUUUGUCAAGUGUGUGAAAAGGAAGUCGUUACCGGAUGUUUCCGAGGAGAAACUGAAGAGUUUGGAAGGGUCAUUGUCGUUUUCGCAGGUUUCGAAUUUGACUAGUGAUGAGAGAAAUGGUGAUAAGUAUUAUAAGUUAAUGGAUUUGGAAGAUACUGAGUUGCCACCACAGAGUUUCAUUACCGAUAUUGCUAGAGGAUUGAGGAGGGGAUUGAAGUUGAAUUUGUUUAAUUUUGAUGUCAUUAGGGAUGCUAGAAUUGGGAAUAGGUACCUUGUGAUUGAUAUUAAUUACUUUCCUGGGUAUGCCAAAAUGCCCGGUUACGAGACUGCUUUGACUGAUUUCUUUUGUGAUUUGGUCGGGAAGAGUUGGAGUGAGGAGGAAGAGAAAGAUGGGAUUGAUAAGCGGCAGCUGGUGUGUAAUUGUGAUGUGGAAGUGAGGAAGAUUGUGAGUAAUACUUGUUGUAGUGAUGGGGAAGAGCAAGAGAAAUCACCCAUUCUUCAAGUUUGAGCGGGGAAGUAGAAUACUAAAGUAGUGGAUAGCAGUGGGUGAGGCUCGUUGCAUUCAUUGUGUGGUGGUGAGGAAUGUUUCUGGUUAUUUGUGGGCUGGAUGGAGAUGCACAUUUUCUGAUAGGUAGGCGGGGGGAGGGGAGGAGCAGGAGGUACCGUGGUGGAAUAAAUAGGUUUGUUGCCUCUUUGGUGGUAGUUUUAGCCUCUUGACAACAUUUACAUGGCAUUACAGUGUUGAACAUGUAUAUUCUGUCAACAACUGCUCUGGAGUUAGGUUCUUACAAAUGAUACCGCUUUGGCAGUUAUAAGUUUUCACAUUCAAGGGCGAUGCUUGAGAAAAUUGGGAAUCUUCUCUUUACUUGCACGUAUUCAUUUGCUAUGUUCCUUGGAAUACAAGGAGUUGCAGUGGGAUUGGCGAACUUGGCAUAUGGCUAUGAAAGGAAAUUUAUGCAUCA